rnacentral:rRNA from 1 species
UACGGGGGGGGCAAGCGUUGUUCGGAAUUACUGGGCGUAAAGGGCUCGUAGGUGGCCAACUAAGUCAGACGUGAAAUCCCUCGGCUUAACCGGGGAACUGCGUCUGAUACUGGAUGGCUUGAGAUUGGGAGAGGGAUGCGGAAUUCCAGGUGUAGCGGUGAAAUGCGUAGAUAUCUGGAGGAACACCGGUGGCGAAGGCGGCAUCCUGGACCAACACUGACGCUGAGGAGCGAAAGUGUGGGGAGCGAACAGG